rnacentral:rRNA from 1 species
UACGUAGGGUGCGAGCGUUAAUCGGAAUUACUGGGCGUAAAGCGUGCGCAGGCGGCUUUGCAAGACAGAUGUGAAAUCCCCGAGCUUAACUUGGGAACUGCAUUUGUGACUGCAAGGCUAGAGUACGGCAGAGGGGGAUGGAAUUCCGCGUGUAGCAGUGAAAUGCGUAGAUAUGCGGAGGAACACCAAUGGCGAAGGCAAUCCCCUGGGCCUGUACUGACGCUCAUGCACGAAAGCGUGGGGAGCAAACAGG